rnacentral:rRNA from 1 species
UACGUAGGGGGCAAGCGUUGUCCGGAAUUAUUGGGCGUAAAGGGCUCGUAGGCGGUUUGUCGCGUCGGGAGUGAAAUCAUCUGGCUUAACUGGGUGCUUGCUUUCGAUACGGGCAGACUAGAGGUAUGCAGGGGAGAACGGAAUUCCUGGUGUAGCGGUGAAAUGCGCAGAUAUCCGGAGGAACACCAGUGGCGAAGGCGACACGCUGGGCCAUACCUGACGCUAAAGCGCGACAGCAUGGGGAGCAAACGGG